CCUAACUUUAAGUGGAUCUGGAAAGCUAGUAUCCCAUUGAAAAUCAAAAUAUUUCUGUGGCAGCUAUUUCAAAAUGCUGUGCUUAUUCGGGAUAAUUUAUGGAAGAGGAAUUGUCCCGGGAAUCCUAUUUGCUCUUUCUGCACUAACAUGGAAACUGCAAAUCAUUUGUUCUUUACAUGUUCGCUUGCUCGAACGGUUUGGGCACCCUGGGUAUUACGGCUGGAGCUUCUUGCUGCCCUCGGUCUCUAUGGCAAUGUUGGGCAUGGUUAUAUAAUUUUUUUUCCCAGGAGGAAAAAGAUUCUAUAUGAUGAUUAUUGCUGCUAUGUGUUGGGGGAUCUGGUGUCUUCGAAAUAA
rnacentral:rRNA from 1 species